rnacentral:lncRNA from 1 species
GGAGGGAGAGCCUAAUGAUCCUUCUGCAGGUGGGAGCCCGCAGGAUUUGGAGACUGAGGACCUAAGGGGUGGAGGGUUGGGGCGCUGGACUCCCUGCCUUCUCUGGCCCGGGGAAAGGUGGUGCGAGGUGGGGGGGCUCGAAAAUGCUCUGGGCUCCGGCUCCGCAGUGAGGGGAGGGGGGGGCGGCGCAAAGAGAGGAGCGCUCUGCGGCCACGUGACACUCUCUUUCCCCCUCCCCCCCUCCUCCCCUCUCUCCCCCCUUCAACUGCAGCGGCGGCGGCGGCAGUGACAGCGGCGGGAGCAGCAGCGGGAGUGGAGCUGCGUCCGACUGGGGCUGCUGAGGCCAGCACCAGAGCCGAGUGGAGCCGAGCGGAGGGAGCCCCGCGUGCCCUCCCCCAGGCCCUGUGGGAGGAAUGAUGGGCAGAGCCAGCCCUUCCCUCAUGCGUUAGACUUGCCUCGAGUGGACUCUGCUCCUCCCCACACAGCUUCCCUCUAUCCCAAGGUAAAGUGGCCUCUCCUCCCUGCCUCCAGGAAACCCAGUGAGGGCCAUGUAGUGGGGAGAGGGAGGGACGAAACGAGGGAGCAAUCAUGGGAUGCGCUGGGCCUGGUUCCUCACAGCUCCAGGGGCCGGGCUUGGGGAUGAGGGGAUCUGGGUUUGAAUCCUGACUCUGACAUUUGGUCAUGCUGGGCAAGUGACUUCUCCUCCCUGAAGGCCAAUUUUCUUAUCUGUAAAGUGAUGGAAUUGGGCCAAGUGAUCUCCAAAGGGCCUGCUAGCUCUAGAUCUCUGAGCCUCCGUUUCCUUAGCCUUAAAAUGGGGAUGAUAAUAUUUGUACUGCCUACCUCCACAGGGUGUUAGGAGGAAAGUGGUUUUUAAAAACCCUUAAGUGCUAUGGAAGAGGGAGCAGCAGCAUCCAUUGCCACCAGUCCCCUGAUCUCUGUCAGAGAGGGAGUACAGUGGAGAGAGCGCUGGGCCUGGAGUCAGGAGGAGCUGCGAUCAAUUCCAGCCUCACAUGCUUCCUAGCUAUAUUACAUUGGACAAGUGAUUUAAUUUCUCUUUGCCUCCAUUUCCUCAACUGUAAAAUGCAGUUCAUAAUAACACCCACUUCUCAAGGUUAUGACAAUUAAAUGCAGUAAUAUUUGUAAAAAAUGCUUAGCACAAAACUUUUUUCCCUUUCUUAUUUUUGUCCAAGUUUCCUUCCACAAAAGGAUUAAUAUGGAAAAAUAUUUUAUAUGAUUGCAC